rnacentral:rRNA from 1 species
UACAGAGGGGCAAGCGUUAUUCGGAAUUAUUGGGCGUAAAGGGCGCGUAGGCGGCUUUGCAAGUGACGGGUGAAAUCCCUCGGCUUAACUGAGGACGUGCGGAAGAAACUGCAAGGCUUGAGUCCGGGAGAGGGGGUGGAAUUCCCAGUGUAGCGGUGAAAUGCGUAGAUAUUGGGAGGAACACCAGUGGCGAAGGCGGCUCACUGGCCCGGUACUGACGCUCAUGUGCGAAAGCGUGGGGAGCAAACAGG